AACACAAGGUGGAAGGGGGCUGGACGAAGGACAACCUCGAAAGUCGUCGCUUUUGGUAACUGAACAACCCUGCCAGCGAGGAACUGAAGACGAGCUCGUGAGGCUGUUAGUCGUUGUGCUGUGACUCGUGUUAUAAGGAGUAGGAGGAAAAUCGUCUCCAUUUUUUAUUAGUAAAAAGCCAUGGAACCGGAAUUUCCUUACGCCCUGAACCCCUUCCCGGAGGAGGUGCAGACGAGGCUUAAGACGAAGUUCCUCGGGUUCAAGGGCGGCCUGGUGGACGCGGAGGGACGCCACGUCAUGCCCACGCACUACGGCCGCUUCGCCAGCCAGUACUUCAACUAUAAGUGAGUUCUGUUGCGCCUUGGGGGACGGUGAAUGUGUUGAUGUUGAUAAAGAUGUUGAUGUUGAUAAAGAU